GAAAAAGCCGUCGCUUGGAAAAGACGACGAAGAGGACGCUGUCGUCUCCAUAUCGCCACUUUGCUGGGGGCAUAUCUCUCGUCCGAAGCAUCAGCAGUUUCACCGAUAACGCCGCCAUCGGCGCCAACUUUCGACCAUGAUGGAGAAUGCUAUCUUCCUUACUUGGAUUACGGCGUCCCUUCAGUCAGCGGCUGGCCAGGGGCAUCGUCACCGACAGUCUCAUCAGAAGAGUACAAAAGGGCGGCGGAUCCGACUUCGGCCUUCAGUGGGCAAGGGAUAGCGGCGACAAUGCAUUCGUCGCUCACAAACCCGCUUCUGUUCUACAUGCAGUCCCUACAGCUUUCUACCCUGCCCAAAGACUGGAAGGUGGGAAAGGUGGUUCCGAUCCAUAAAUCAGAGCCGACCUGGGGACCAAUCCACCUCGAGGAAGAAGAGAGUACCGAUCCCCCUCCCCCAUAGAGUACCCCUUUUCUGCCGCAAGGCUUGGCCUAGUAAACGCAGAAAUAAAGACGUAUAAAAAAGAUGAUUGCAAGCGAAAAUGC